GCUUUUAGGUGCAGCGCCCCACAGACGAAGGCAGGAUGCUGCAUCGCACGCUGAUCACUCGGGGGUCUCCUGUAAACUUUCUCCACUACUUAUAAAACUUCUCUCGAGUACUUUUCAACCAGGAAAAGAAACAUUCAACUCUUAGAGGGAUAUGGCGGACAUUUUAUCAGAAAUUCAGCGGGGCUCAGACGGUGAAUUUGAGGACUCGUCUGACUCAGCAGUAAUGGCGUCGGCUCCGAGGAGGAGGCAUUGUUUACAUGAGAAGUGUACCCAGUUUACUAGUAAGUAUUUGCAUGAUCCAUAAGGCCGUGAUGUGUAAAUUGGUAUGCAUGGAACACCUUUGUCAUAAAACUGUAAACACAGUAGUAAGUAAGUCACUAUAUCUGUUUAUUUUGGGCUUACUUUGCUUGCAGAUAUUGCAUUUUAUCUGUCUUCGAAUAUAUUUUUUAUGAAAAAAAAAAUGAAGUAAAUAUAAAUGCAAACAAAAUAUAGUAGAGGUCAUGGCUACUCAAUUUAGUGAAUAAGUUUACAUAUAUCUACAACUUUUGUGUCCUUCAGUGAAAUGUACAAAUGUUAUUUAUUGUUGUUCUACAUAGUAAUUGAUCACCAUUUUCACAGCCACCAAGAAAAGGGGAGUGAGGCACAUCCACCCCCCCAUCAGGGGUUUUCACACCUUCAGUACUCCCUGCACCAGACGCCCCACCCCCACCCUUACCUGCAAGAAAGGUGACAUUGCUUGUAUCAAGGUUUGUGCACUGAUCAUUUGUUUGAUUCUGGUCUCUAAAAGAAAUAAUACACUCUUUACUGCUUCAAUUAUGCAUUGAUAUGUAUUCAUUACAUAUAAUUGAUUCUACCUGUGUUUGCUUAUAUAUUGUUUUUAAUUUACAAUAUUUGUUGCACUUUUACUUUUUAUUUUCCAUUGUUUGCACAGAAUGUUUGUUUGUUUCUCUUUUUGCACUUUUUUCAAAUAAAAAUACUCCCUGUGAAGAAAGAAAUGUAGAAGUUCCUGUUAUUUUUCACUAUUCUGUAUUACAUAUAAACAAAUAUAUUGUGCAAAAUGGUAGAAAUUGAUGCGGC